UUGGAACUGAUGACUGAGGCAGGAGAGGGGGAGUGGAUCCUGGUGUAGCGGUGAAUGCGUAGAUAUCGGGAGGAACACCAGUGGCGAAGGCGGCUCUCUGGCCUGUUUUCUGACGCUGAGGCGCGAAAGCGUGGGGAGCAAACGGGAUUAGAUACCCCGGUAGUGCACGCCGUAAACGAUGGGUGCUAGGUGUAGGAGGUAUCGACCCCAUUCUGUGCCGUAGUUAACACAAUAAGCACCCCGCCUGGGGAGUACGGCCGCAAGGUUGAAACUCAAAGGAAUUGACGGGGGCCCGCACAAGCGGUGGAGCAUGUGGUUUAAUUCGACGCAACGCGAAGAACCUUACCAGGGCUUGACAUCCUCUGACCGCAUAUGAAAGUAUGUUUUCUGGCUUCGGUCAGACAGAGAGACAGGUGGUGCAUGGUUGUCGUCAGCUCGUGUCGUGAGAUGUUGGGUUAAGUCCCGCAACGAGCGCAAC
rnacentral:rRNA from 1 species